GAAACUGUGGGUCACCGGGUCACUGGGUUACUCUAUGCUUGACCCAGUCCAACUCUGGUCUGGAGUUCUGUCGGAGGAAUAAUAAGAGGAUCAUGUCAAAGAAAAAAGAACAAAAAUAAUAAUGAACAAUAACAAAAUGGUGGUAGUAUGUGUGCAGACAAUAGUUCACAAUUCUUGUAGAGGUUUGGUCGUAUUGAUCAAUAUUUGCUAGUAUUGCAGUAGUCGCUGUCGCACUCCACACAGUGUUUCUUUCCGCGGCCAUUUUGCUUCAGCUGCCGCCUAGAUAUUCUAAAAGGAUCUAGAUGAUAUUCGUGUAUUAGAUUAACAUAUUAUACGUACCUUCAAGAUAAAAUAUGCAUUUUCCGUUUGGACAACUCGUAGUUGCGGUAAGAUUAACAAAGCUACGACAUU